rnacentral:rRNA from 1 species
GACGAACGCUGGCGGCGCGCUUAACACAUGCAAGUCGAACGAGAACUCCGGAGCUUGCUCCGGGGGGAGAGUGGCGAACGGGUGAGGAACACGUGAGAAACCUGCCCCGAAGACCGGGAUAACACCGGGAAACCGGUGCUAAUACCGGAUGCCCUCACGGGAUCGCAUGGUCCCAUGAGGAAAUGGAUUCCGCUUCGGGAUGGUCUCGCGGCCUAUCAGCUUGUUGGUGGGGUAACGGCCCACCAAGGCUUCGACGGGUAGCUGGUCUGAGAGGAUGUCCAGCCACACUGGGACUGAGACACGGCCCAGACUCCUACGGGUGGCAG